rnacentral:tmRNA from 1 species
GUUCGCGCCUUGCUCUUGAAAAUUUUGGCGCGCCGCCUCAUACUGCGUCGCAUGGUUGUAAUUCCGGCAAACUGGAGGCGUUCUGGACGCGGGUUCGACUCCCGCCACCUCCACCCAGGCGUAUCCGGCCGGAGCGCGGGGAGUAUGUCUGGGUGGGGGUGUAUUGGCUUCGACAGGGCGAGUGAAGGCGCGCAGGCAACCCGAAAGGCGACGGACGUAAUCCGCGCAAAUCCACAAACGCCAAUGAUGAGCGUUUCGCACUGGCCGCCUAAGGCCGAUGCCGAGGCCGCUUGAGCCUUGUCACCCAAGAAAAGCCGGCGGGGACUUCGGUCCCCGUCGUCA